GUCACGCUUCAGACCUCUGAUCAGGGAAGGCUACCCGCUGAGUUUAAGCAUAUCAAUAAGCGGAGGAAAGGGCGAAUUCGCGGCCGUUACA
rnacentral:rRNA from 1 species